GGGAGUUGGCGGCGUGCUAAUACAUGCAAGUCGAACGCUUCUUUCCUCCCGAGUGCUUGCACUCAAUUGGAAAGAGGAGUGGCGGACGGGUGAGUAACACGUGGGUAACCUACCCAUCAGAGGGGGAUAACACUUGGAAACAGGUGCUAAUACCGCAUAACAGUUUAUGCCGCAUGGCAUAAGAGUGAAAGGCGCUUUCGGGUGUCGCUGAUGGAUGGACCCGCGGUGCAUUAGCUAGUUGGUGAGGUAACGGCUCACCAAGGCCACGAUGCAUAGCCGACCUGAGAGGGUGAUCGGCCACACUGGGACUGAGACACGGCCCAGACUCCUACGGGAGGCAGCAGUAGGGAAUCUUCGGCAAUGGACGAAAGUCUGACCGAGCAACGCCGCGUGAGUGAAGAAGGUUUUCGGAUCGUAAAACUCUGUUGUUAGAGAAGAACAAGGACGUUAGUAACUGAACGUCCCCUGACGGUAUCUAACCAGAAAGCCACGGCUAACUCCGUGCCAGCAGCCGCAA
rnacentral:rRNA from 1 species